GCCCCCUGUCUGAAUGAGGCAGCUCCGUGGACUGAUGUAGGAGUGAAUGGGGGAAGCCACCACUAUUUACCGAAAAGAGGUUUCGAGGCUGUCCAGAAGCCGGGUGCCAGCCACAAGCAGACAGCAGACUGGGUGGUCAGCCCGGUGACCGUCACUAAGGGGGUGAGAUGGUGAAGCCAACAGACUUGACCAAGGCCCCGCCGAGAGGAAGUGGACGAGUCAGGAUUCAACCCAGGCCUGCCGAGCCUCAGACUUUGGGCCUCCCUCUUUGAGCUGCCAAGAUGCGUGGGCCCCGGAGCCCUUUCCAAUGGUCUCUGUCACGAAGGGUGACACAAAGUGCUACACAGGUGUGAGCACCCGGCACCAUUUCUCUGUCUUGGCAAGUGACCCACCGUGAUGCUGAGACUCAGUUUCCUCACCUUCAUCUCGGGUUCGUGGUGAGGAGUCUAUGGAUGGAAUGCAGAGCCUGUCCAUGGGGAUUCGCGCACUUGGGCUGAAAUGGGAACCUCACAACGUCAGGAAUGUAAAUAACAGAACCUCUGAUGAGGAACAACUUACACAAAGAGGCAUUCGUGUUCUUUAACCAGACGUCUGAAUGAAGAAGGGCGCUGCCGGCAUUAUACCAGCAGCUCACUCAUGUCAGGGCCCUGGGCAACUCUGUGAUUCUCCAGACCUUGCCCCACGGUCCCAAAAUAGUUGUCACAGCCCCAGAUGUCAUCUAUUUGUAGAGCUGUAUCCAGUUCAGCACUACGAACACGGGGAGUGGAUCCUUCUUGGCUGGGGGGCCAUCGUGUGCACGGUAGGCUGUUUAACAGCACCCCCCCGCCCCGGCCUCUGCCCACUGGAGGCCACCAGGGGCCCCCACCACCAAGUUGCAACAACCAAAGAUGUCUCUGGACAUAGCCAUAUGUCCUCAGAGGGACUACAUCUGCCCCAGGCCAGAACCCCUGGGCCAAAGUAGGGAUGACAAUAUUCUCUUAGUGCAGCUUUCUCUGUCUUCAGUAAGGAAAGGACCCCCUCAUUUUCCACUGGCCAGGGCAGUUCACGUGCCAGAGCCCUGAAAGGGAGCAUCUGCUGUCUCUGCCCUUCUAGAAGGAGGCAGCCCCGCCCCUGGAGAGGCAGGGGGUGGGGAUGGCUGUCCUGGGCGCACCCAGCAGCGUCUGCACGAGGGGUCUUCACGGGGGGGGGUGUCCAGGUGUCUUCCCAGAGCUCUUUACAUGCGUGGUAAGGAGUGUCUCCCGGGGUUGGCCUAGCUUGCAGGACCCGCGCAGACGUCUGUGGGGAGCUCAGCAUUUGUCAGGCGCUGUAUUAGUCCUUUACACACGUCCACAUGAGGAAUGGUCACCUCAGCUCUGUGGAGACAGACUAUUCUUGUCCCUCCUAUGCAGAUGAAGAAACGGUGGCUGAGAAAGAUUAAGCCACUUGCCCCGGGUCCCCCAGCCGCCGAAGGGCAAGGUGGGCACCAAAGGCCAUGCAUGUCGCUUGGUGCCCCGUCGGGAGACAGAAACCACACCAGCGGCUCUCAUAGAGAAGGUUCCUUUAAAGGAUCGCGGCCAAGGUACAAAAGAACCGCGAGGCAACCUGAAACUGUGAAGGCACCGCAGAGGGAGCACGUCCUGGGAGCAUUGACCACGCCAGGGCUGGGGCAUCCAGGGAAGGCCCAACCUGCCUUGACUCGGAAGCUUGGAGAAAGAGCCAAAGUGGGGCACCAGUGGCUGAGAAGCACAGGGAGGCUGGGCGUGGGCCUGCUGGAGACACCGACUGCCCCUGCUGCGGUCAGACACACUGGCUAGAUGCCGACGGCCUCAGGGAGCCGGCGCUGGACGGACAGACAGACAGCCUGCCUCCCCCAUCCUUCGGCCCCUCGCAGCUGGCAGUGAGGAAGGGUGGUUUUCAGAGUCCCAGCCCGGCAUCACAGGGCAGAGCACAGAGGGGGCAUGUUCGGGGCUCGGGGACAAUCCUUCAUAACCAGCACGUCUGCCGGCCUCCUUCUCGCCCUGCCUGACGCCGGGAACCAGGAAGGCUUCACCGAGACGGUAGAUGAUUGACUGUCUGUUAGGACUGGCCCGAGAGAUGGGCCAGAUGCCUUUGAGAUCCUUCGGCGAAGGACUCUUGCCUCCAGGAUCACGGCCUUCGCUGUGUGCUCGUGAAGCUAACAGCUCCAGGGGCAGCCUCUGGGUCUCCGCUCUCCUGAUGGAAGCAGGUGCAUGAACUCCCUCGGUGGGCCGGUUCUGCCAAGUUUUCCGUGGAGACCCAACCCAGGAUGGCUCCACAUGAACUCCCGGUGGUUUUUGUAGGCCCCUCAUGGCCUCUGCUAAUUUCUCUUUGGAAUAGAUAGAAUGGUUCUGCAGCUGAACUCUGCUUCGAUCACGCCUGCAGUCUUCACGACACUGAUUCCAUUUCACAGACGAGAAAGCUGAGGCCCACGGUGGUUCGGCAUCCUGCUCGAGGCCACAGUCACUAGUCAGUGGCAGUGGCAGAACCACAGUGUGAAGCCAGGCCUUCUGCCCCCUAACGCUGUCCCUUCCCACCUAACCUCAGGAGGCUGUGACUUUUAAACCGGAGCAAGGAUGUGGUCUGAGCCAUGUUUAACUUGCAAAUCACACAAUGUGUUCCACUUUUAUGCUGAAUUCAUCUGAGCCUUGAUUCUUGUUUGUUUCAAUGGUAUGAUUAAGAAAAGCAUAAUGAUUCUCCUCUGGGGUCAGGUGGCUGUGAUUGACAGGGCCGUGCACACAGCCAGUAGUUCCGCAGUCGCUGCAGAGUGGGGGCCUGUGCUCCUGACCCUCAUCGCCAACCCCCCAGGGCAUGACUUGAGGACAGGACGGCAUAGAAGGGUCCACCAUUUAUCAGGCACGCACUCAGUGCCAGGUGCUCGGCCCUAGGGUGGUACCUAUGAUCCUCGCAAUGUCCUGCAUAGUGAGGACAGCCACACUCUUGUACAGAUCAGGGAGUAUCAGUCCUCAGGUCACGGUUAUUAAGCAGUUGCAGGGUGUGGCUGUAGUUCUGACCUGCUCAGCCUCCCAUCCUCCCUCACUAGUAACAGCACCUCUGUUUUCCUUUGUGGGUGCCUAUCCCUCCCCCACCCUCAGGCCAUGCAGAGUUUGGUUGGCACGGACUCUUCCUCACCCCCAGCUGCAGGGGAAAUUCCUGACUCCCACAUUCCAUCCCCAGAUUAUAAGGAUUCAGCCAGGGGCUAAGUCACCCAAACAAGGCAAAGGAGACUUGGUCCUAACACCACUCUUGAAUUAUUGGGAAUGAGAAACUGGUUCUUUCUGUUGGACUUAAAGACAUAUACAUGGAGUAUCUGGGGUUACAGGAAGGCAUAGGAAGAUGACCUGUCAGAGUAUGACACCCAGGAGCUGGGAGAAAGAGGGGAGGCAGAUUCUUGAUGACAUCAUUUAUAAUGCUGGAUCCAACCCUACCUGAAACCAUCACUUCCUACCCUAGGUUUCUCA